rnacentral:rRNA from 1 species
AGUGAACGCUGGCGGUAGGCCUAACACAUGCAAGUCGAACGGCAGCACAGUAAGAGCUUGCUCUUACGGGUGGCGAGUGGCGGACGGGUGAGGAAUACAUCGGAAUCUACUUUUUCGUGGGGGAUAACGUAGGGAAACUUACGCUAAUACCGCAUACGACCUACGGGUGAAAGCAGGGGAUCUUCGGACCUUGCGCGAUUGAAUGAGCCGAUGUCGGAUUAGCUAGUUGGCGGGGUAAAGGCCCACCAAGGCGACGAUCCGUAGCUGGUCUGAGAGGAUGAUCAGCCACACUGGAACUGAGACACGGUCCAGACUCCUACGGGAGGCAGCAGUGGGGAAUAUUGGACAAUGGGCGCAAGCCUGACCCAGCCAUACCGCGUGGGUGAAGAAGUCCUUCGGGUUGUAAAGCCCUUUUGUUGGGAAAGAAAAGCAGCAGGUUAAUACCCCGCUGUUCUGACGGUACCCAAAGAAUAAGCACCGGCUAACUUCGUG